ACCAGACUCCUACGGGAGGCAGCAGUGGGGAAUAUUGCACAAUGGGGGAAACCCUGAUGCAGCGAUGCCGCGUGGAGGAAGAAGGUUUUCGGAUUGUAAACUCCUUUUAUCAGGGACGAUAAUGACGGUACCUGAAGAAAAAGCUCCGGCUAACUACGUGCCAGCAGCCGCGGUAAUACGUAGGGAGCGAGCGUUGUCCGGAAUUACUGGGUGUAAAGGGAGCGUAGGCGGGACGGCAAGUCAGAUGUGAAAAUCCGGGGCCCAACCCCGGAACUGCAUUGGAAACUGUAUUUCUAGAGUGUCGGAGAGGCAAGUGGAAUUCCUGGUGUAGCGGUGAAAUGCGUAGAUAUCAGGAGGAACACCAGUGGCGAAGGCGGCUUGCUGGACGAUGACUGACGUUGAGGCUCGAAAGCGUGGGGAGCAAACAGGAUUAGAUACCCCGGUAC
rnacentral:rRNA from 1 species